AGAGUUUGAUCCUGGCUCAGGAUGAACGCUAGCUACAGGCUUAACACAUGCAAGUCGAGGGGAAACGACAUCGAAAGCUUGCUUUUGAUGGGCGUCGACCGGCGCACGGGUGAGUAACGCGUAUCCAACCUGCCCAUCACUUGGGGAUAACCUUGCGAAAGUAAGACUAAUACCCAAUGACAUCUAUAGAAGACAUCUGAAAUGGAUUAAAGAUUUAUCGGUGAUGGAUGGGGAUGCGUCUGAUUAGCUUGUUGGCGGGGUAACGGCCCACCAAGGCGACGAUCAGUAGGGGUUCUGAGAGGAAGGUCCCCCACAUUGGAACUGAGACACGGUCCAAACUCCUACGGGAGGCAGCAGUGAGGAAUAUUGGUCAAUGGACGAGAGUCUGAACCAGCCAAGUAGCGUGCAGGAUGACGGCCCUAUGGGUUGUAAACUGCUUUUAUAAGGGAAUAAAGUGAGUCUCGUGAGACUUUUUGCAUGUACCUUAUGAAUAAGGACCGGCUAAUUCCGUGCCAGCAGCCGCGGUAAUACGGAAGGUCCGGGCGUUAUCCGGAUUUAUUGGGUUUAAAGGGAGCGUAGGCCGGAGAUUAAGCGUGUUGUGAAAUGUAGAUGCUCAACAUCUGCACUGCAGCGCGAACUGGUUUCCUUGAGUACGCACAAAGUGGGCGGAAUUCGUGGUGUAGCGGUGAAAUGCUUAGAUAUCACGAAGAACUCCGAUUGCGAAGGCAGCUCACUGGAGCGCAACUGACGCUGAAGCUCGAAAGUGCGGGUAUCGAACAGGAUUAGAUACCCUGGUAGUCCGCACGGUAAACGAUGGAUGCCCGCUGUUGGUCUGAAUAGGUCAGCGGCCAAGCGAAAGCAUUAAGCAUCCCACCUGGGGAGUGCGCCGGCAAC
rnacentral:rRNA from 1 species